rnacentral:rRNA from 1 species
GUCCACGCCGUAAACGAUGAGUGCUAGGUGCUAUGGGUAUUGACCCCUGUGGUGCCGUAGCUAACGCGUUAAGCACUCCGCCUGGGGAGUACGGCCGCAAGGCUAAAACUCAAAGGAAUUGACGGGGGCCCGCACAAGCGGUGGAGCAUGUGGUUCAAUUCGACGCAACGCGCAGAACCUUACCUGGGUUAAAUCCACUCGAACCUGCCAGAGAUGGCGGGGUGCCUUUCGGGGAACGAGUGAGAAGGUGCUGCAUGGCUGUCGU